rnacentral:rRNA from 1 species
UAACUACUGGAAACGGUGGCUAAUACCGCAUAACGUCGCAAGACCAAAGAGGGGGACCUUCGGGCCUCUUGCCAUCAGAUGUGCCCAGAUGGGAUUAGCUGGUUGGUGAGGUAACGGCUCACCAAGGCGACGAUCCCUAGCUGGUCUGAGAGGAUGACCAGCCACACUGGAACUGAGACACGGUCCAGACUCCUACGGGAG